rnacentral:rRNA from 1 species
UACGUAGGGUGCGAGCGUUAAUCGGAAUUACUGGGCGUAAAGCGUGCGCAGGCGGUUCGUGAUGUCUGAUGUGAAAGCCCCGGGCUCAACCUGGGAAUUGCAUUGGAAACUAGCGGGCUGGAGUGUGGCAGAGGGGGGGUGGAAUUCCACGUGUAGCAGUGAAAUGCGCAGAUAUCAGGAGGAACACCGAUGGCGAAGGCAGCUCGCUGGGACGGUACUGACGCUGAGGCGCGAAAGCGUGGGGAGCAAACAGG